rnacentral:rRNA from 1 species
AGCGAACGCUGGCGGUAGGCCUAACACAUGCAAGUCGAACGGCAGCACCGUAAGAGCUUGCUCUUACGGGUGGCGAGUGUCGGACGGGUGAGGAAUACUUCGGAAUCUACUUUUUCGUUGGUGAUAACGUAGGGCAACUUACGCUCAUACCUCAUACGACCUACUGGUGUAAGCAGGCGAUCUUCGGACCUUGCGCGCUUGCAUGAGCCUGUGUCUGAUUAGCUAGUUGGCGGGGUAAAGGCCCACCAAGGCGACGAUCCGUAGCUGGUCUGAGAGGGUGAACAGCCACAUUGGAACUGAGACACGGCCCAGACUCCUACGGGAGGCAGCAGUGGGGAAUAUUGGGCAAUGGGCGAAAGCCUGACCCAGCAAUACCGCGUGGGUGAAGAAGGCCUUCGGGUUGUAAAGCCCUGUUGUUAGGAAAGAAAAGCAGUAGGUGAAAACGACGAUGUUAUGACGGUACACAAAGAAUAAGCACCGGCUAACUACGUG